rnacentral:lncRNA from 1 species
GUAGACAUUGCGAGUCCCGAGUUCUGGAUCCUGGGGUGAGGAGCCUUGGACGCUGCUGCCUUACAGGUGUGUGUGUGUGUGUGUCACCUUCGGAGCCGACACCCUCGCCCCAAUCACGAGCGGGUCCCUAGGAAAUCCACGCCCUCGGAAUGUUCGGAGCCAGUCUCUGAACCUUUGGGUUCCGCCCCCUGGGCACGCUCGCGGCGCUCUAGGGCACGCCCACAAACAUCGGACCACGCCCCGAAGCCCUGGCCACGCCCACCCCACAGGAAUCCGAAGCGGCCAUGGGGACACCCAGCACCCUAGAGGAGGGCUCCUUGCCGCCUCAGGUUCCGGAAUGCGCGGUCGAGGUCCAGCCUCAAGGGGUCGUGCAGCCUCAGGGGCACCCCGAGAAUCCCCAAGAGCACAAGGAGCCCGAGGUCCCAGCGGAGCUUCCAAGCUGCCAAGAAGCUGGGCGGCAGGAGGAAGAGGAAGAAGUGGAAGAAGGUAGCAGCACCGAGAGCUGCCGCGAAGAGCCCGAGGCUACGCUGGCCGCACAGAUUCCAGCCACACCUUCCCCAUGCCUUCCUGGGGAAGAGCUGCGGGGGGCGGCGCGGCGGCUGCGAGGACAGCAGCUGGAGGCACUAACACGCGUGGCUCUGAUGGAGCAGCGGGUGAAGGAGUUACAGCGUCAGAAGAAGGAAUUGAGGAUCGAGAUGGAGGUGGAAGUGGCCCUGCUCCGGGGUGAGCUGGCGGGAGAACGAGUGGCCGCUCGGCGGGAGGAAGAGCAGCUGCGGGAGUUGCUGGGUCAGCGGGUAGAGUCCCAGCAGAGCAGCCAAGAACAGCGGGAACAGGAGCAGAGGCAGCUGAGCCAGGAGCGGGAUCAUGUGGAAAAUCUUCGCCAGAGACUUAGGGAGGCCCAAGGACAUCUUGAUUCACAGCCAGAGGACCAGAGAGAGAGGCUCUCACAAGGGGUACAAGA